GACGAACGCUGGCGGCACGCCUAACACAUGCAAGUCGAACGGACUUAAACGGAGCUUGCUCUUUUUAAGUUAGUGGCGGACGGGUGAGUAACACGUGAGCAACCUGCCUUUCUGAGGGGGAUAACGUUUGGAAACGAACGCUAAUACCGCAUAACAUAUAUUUAUCGCAUGAUAGAUAUAUCAAAGGAGCAAUCCGCAGAGAGAUGGGCUCGCGUCUGAUUAGCUAGUUGGUGAGGUAAUGGCUCACCAAGGCAACGAUCAGUAGCCGGACUGAGAGGUUGAACGGCCACAUUGGGACUGAGACACGGCCCAGACUCCUACGGGAGGCAGCAGUGGGGAAUAUUGCACAAUGGGGAAACCCUGAUGCAGCGAUGCCGCGUGGAGGAAGAAGGUUUUCGGAUUGUAAACUCCUGUCUUCAGGGACGAUAAUGACGGUACCUGAGGAGGAAGCACCGGCUAACUACGUGCCAGCAGCCGCGGUAAAAGUC
rnacentral:rRNA from 1 species